rnacentral:lncRNA from 10 species
GGGCAAUCUACUCGGCUCCUCUUCCACGCUGUGGAGGCUUUGUUCUUUCCUUCUUCACAAUAGAUCUUGCUGCUGCUCACUCUGUGGGUCCGCACUACAUUUAUGAGCUGUAACACUCACUGCGAAGGUCUGCAGCUUCACUUCUGAAGUCAGCAAGACCACGAACCCACCGGGAAGAAAAAACAACUCCAGACGCACCACCUUUAAGAGCUAUAACGCUCACUGCGAAGGUCUGCGGCUUCACUCCUGAAGUCAAGCGAACCCACUGGAAGGAAGAAACUCAGGAACAUCUGAAGGAACAAGCUCCAGACACACCAUCUUUAAGAACUGUAACACUCACCACGAGGGUCCGUGACUUCAUUCUUGAAGUCAGCGAGACCAAGAACCCACUGGAAGGAACAAUUCCGGACACACUGAAAAGGCAAGUGACACACAGAAGGGAAGCAACUUAUCCAAGAUCUCAAUUGUUAGUGGAAGAAGCUGGCUGUCAACCGAAGUCAGUGUGAGAUGACCUCAGUGCUUUCUUAUCCAGGUCAGGAAACACUGGGAGAUUGAAUUUAAAUUUGAAGGUUGUUUGGUAAAUAUGGAAUCAGAGAAAUCAAAAUCACAUGGCCUCAAAAGAUGAUACUUUUGUCAAGCUAUGAAGCCUGGCUCUUUUAACAUUGAAGAUAUAAAGAUAAACAAGAUAGACAUAAAGUGUCUGGCCUCAUGAAGUUCUGCUAGAAGAGAGAAGCAUAUACAAAUAAAAUAAUAAAAAGGUAGUUAAAAAUGUGAUACCAGAUCUGUGAAGAAAAUGAAAGGGAUAUUGUGUUAAUAAAUUGCAGUAGGAAGAUCAUUCUUGAAUGAUCCAGACACAUCAUGAGCUUUUCAUCCUGACGAGAUUAGUGAAAAAGCCCAAGAAAGAAGAUGACCAAGAAGGAAACAAAAAGGGUUUGAUGUUUUAAGGAACAGAAUGAAGCCCUGUGAAUGAUAUAAAAUGAGAUGGGAGACCAGGCAAGAAAUCUACUUAUGUGAGUAAAUGGAGAUCAUGGUUUGGAGUUUGGAUUUUACUCUAACCAAAACAGGAAUUCAUUAAAAUUGGAUAUCCAUAAGCAGAAGAAGGAAACAGGGCUCCUACCUCUCAUCACAUACAAAAAAUCAAAUAAAAAGGGACGGAAGACUUAAAUAUAAGACCCAAAACUAUGAAACUACUAGAAGAAAACAUAAGGGAAACACUUCAGGCCAUUGGUCAGGGGAAAGCUUUUAUGAAGAAGACCUCAAAAACACAGAAAACAAAAAUAGACAAAUGAGAUUAUAUCAAACUGAAAAGCUUCUGCACAACAAAGGAAAUAAUCAACAAAGUGAAGAGACAACACACAGAAUGGGAGAAAACAUUUGCAAACUAUUCAUCCGACAGGGGUUAAAAACCAGACUAUACAAGAAACAAACAACUCAACAGCAAAAAUAAAUAAAUAAUAAUAAUAAUAAUAAUCUUGCCUGUAAUCCCGGCACUUUUGGAGGCCAAGGUGGGCGGAUCACGAGGUCAGGAGAUCAAGACCAUCCUGACUAACGCGGUGAAACCCCGUCUCUACUAAAAAAAAAAAAAAUGCAAAAAAUUAGCCCGGCGUAGUGGCAGGCGCCUGUAGUCCCAGCUACUCGGGAGGCUGAGGCAGGAGAAUGGCGUGAACCCAGGAGGCGGAGCUUGCAGUGAGCGGAGAUCGCGCCACUGCACUCCAGCCUGGGCGACAAAGCGAGACUCCGUCUCAAAAUACUAAUAAUAAUAAUAUCAUCAUCAUCAUCUUAUUUUAAAGUGAGCAAAUAAGCUGAACAGACAUUUCUCAUAAAAAGCGAUACAGAUGGCCAAGAAGCCCAUGAAAAAAUGUGCUACAUUAUGAAUCAUCAGGAAAAUGCAAAUCAAAACCACAAUGAGAUGUUAUUUCAUCCCCAUUUGAACGGCUAUAAUCAAAAAGACCAAAAAAUAACAAAUGCUGGUAAGGAUGUGGAGAAAAGGGAACUCUUACAUAUUGUUGGUGGGAAUGUAAAUUAGUUCAUCUAUUAUGAAAAAUGGUAUGAAGGUUCUUCAAAAAACUAAAAACAGAACUAACAUGUGAUCCAGCAAUCCUGUUACUGGGUAUGUAUCCAAAAAAAAAAAAAAAAAGGGACAUAAGUAUGUCAAAGACAUAUCGCUACUCCUGUGUUGAUUGCAGCACUAUUUGCAAUAGCCAAGAUAUGGAAACAAUCUAAGUGUCCAUCAAUGGAUGAAUAGAUAAAGAAUAGUGAAAUAUAUAGACACAAUGGAAUACUAUUCAGCCAUAAAGAACAAAAUCCUGUCACUUGAAGGAACAAGAAUGAGCUUGGAGGACAUUAAGUGAAAUAAACUGACUAAAAAUAAUAAUAAAAGCAAAAAAGAAAGACAUACCACACAUUCUCAUUCAUGUGGAUUAUAACAGCUGAUCUCAUAAAAGUUAAGAGUAGAAUAGUAAAGAGUAGAAUAGAUUACUAGAGGCUGGGAAGGAUAGUGGGGAGAGGGCAUAAGCAGAAAUUUAUUAACGGAUGCAAAAUUGCAGCUAAAUAGGAUUAAGUUCUAUUACAGUCACCCUACAGUGUUUUAUAGCACUGUAAGAUGACUAUAAUGAACAAUUUACUAUAUAUUUUCAAAUAGCCAGAAAAUCGGAUUUUGAAUGUUCUCAACACAAAGAAAUAAUAAAUGUUUGGAUGGAUAUGCUAAUUACCCUAAUUUGAUCAUUACACAUUGUAUACAUGUAUCAAAAUACUACACUGUACCCCCAUAAGUAUGUACAAUUGUUCUGUGUCAACUAAAAAUAAUAAUAAAAGCAAAAAAGAAUUCCUCAAAAAAAAAAAAACCACAAACAGGAAUCCAUUGAAGGGGUCUAAAUAUGGUCUCUGGGCCAGGAGGUGAACAGACUGCGGGGAGAAAAGUGAAAGUAGGAGUACCAACAGGAGGCCACUGCCAUUGUGAAGGCCAUGUAGAGGAGACAGGUGGACAAUUUAAGAUGUAUUCUUGAGGUAAAGCAGACAGUGCACCUUUCAAGUAAAUGCGUGAGCACCAUGAUGCUGAGAAGCUAUUUUCCCAGUGAACCAGGAAGUGAGGUAGGUAGAUGAGUCACCCAAGCGGGUGGGGAAGGAGGUGGUUGAAAUUGAUUUGUAUAUUUAUUUUAUAAAGUAAAUGAAUUAAGAGAAAAAAAUUGGAUCCUGAAUCUGAACUUAUUUACAAAUUAUUAUACCUUACCAAAAAGGUCUUUUAUGGACAAUACUAUAAAGACGGUAAUGUUUACUUUUAGCAUUACCAUCCACACCUUUAAAAUUAUUAAUAAUUUGUGAGAGUUUGCUGUAUACUAAGUACCCU